rnacentral:tRNA from 1 species
UGUUAAAUAGUUUAUAUAAAAUAUUAAUUUUGUAAAUUAAAGAAGUUUUACUUUAACUA